UACGGAGGAUGCAAGCGUUAUCCGGAUUUAUUGGGUUUAAAGGGCGCGCAGGUUGUUUGAUAAGUCAGUGGUGAAAGUCUGUCGCUUAACGGUAGGAUUGCCAUUGAUACUGUUAGACUUGAAUAUGGAUGAGGUAGGCGGAAUGUGUAGUGUAGCGGUGAAAUGCAUAGAUAUUACACAGAACAUCGAUUGCGAAGGCAGCUUACUAAUCCAUCAUUGACGCUGAGGCACGAAAGCGUGGGGAUCAAACA
rnacentral:rRNA from 1 species